rnacentral:rRNA from 1 species
GNAAUUAUUGGGCGUAAAGAGCUUGUAGGCGGUUGGUCGCNUCUGCUGUGAAAGGCUGGGGCUUAACCCUGGUUUUGCAGUGGNUACGGGCUAACUAGAGUGCAGUAGGGGAGUCUGGAAUUCCUGGUGUAGCGGUGGAAUGCGCAGAUAUCAGGAGGAACACCGAUGGCGAAGGCAGGUCUCUGGGCUGUAACUGACGCUGAGAAGCGAAAGCAUGGGGAGCGAACAGGAUUAGAUACCCUGGUAGUCCAUGCCGUAAACGUUGGGCACUAGGUGUGGGGGACAUUCCACGUUUUCCGCGCCGUAGCUAACGCAUUAAGUGCCCCGCCUGGGGAGUACGGCCGCAAGGCUAAAACUCAAAGAAAUUGACGGGGGCCCGCACAAGCGGCGGAGCAUGCGGAUUAAUUCGAUGCAACGCGAAGAACCUUACCAAGGCUUGACAUAUACUGGACUGCGUCAGAGAUGGCGUUUCCCUUCGGGACUGGUAUACAGGUGGUGCAUGGUUGUCGUCAGCUCGUGUCGUGAGAUGUUGGGUUAAGUCCCGCAACGAGCGCAACCCUCGUUCUAUGUUGCCAGCACGUGAUGGUGGGGACUCAUAGGAGACUGCCGGGGCCAACUCGGAGGAAGGUGGGGAUGACGUCAAAUCAUCAUGCCCCUUAUGUCUUGGGCUUCACGCAAGCUACAAUGGCCGGUACAGAGGGUUGCGAUACUGUGAGGUGGAGCUAAUCCCUAAAAGCCGGUCUCAGUUCGGAUUGGGGUCUGCAACUCGACCCCAUGAAGUCGGAGUCGCUAGUAAUCGCAGAUCAGCAACGCUGCGGUGAAUACGUUCCCGGGCCUUGUACACACCGCCCGUCAAGUCACGAAAGUUGGUAACACCCGAAGCCGGU